UAAGAGCUACCACACUGGGUCCACAG
rnacentral:piRNA from 1 species